GAUGAACGCUGGCGGCGUGCUUAACACAUGCAAGUCGAACGGGAAAUAUUUCAUUGAGACUUCGGUGGAUUUGAUUUAUUUCUAGUGGCGGACGGGUAAGUAACGCGUGGGUAACCUGCCUUAUACAGGGGGAUAACAGUCAGAAAUGGCUGCUAAUACCGCAUAAGCGCACAGAGCUGCAUGGCUCAGUGUGAAAAACUCCGGUGGUAUAAGAUGGACCCGCGUUGGAUUAGCUAGUUGGUGGGGUAACGGCCCACCAAGGCGACGAUCCAUAGCCGGCCUGAGAGGGUGAACGGCCACAUUGGGACUGAGACACGGCCCAGACUCCUACGGGAGGCAGCAGUGGGGAAUAGUGCACAAUGGGGGAAACCCUGAUGCAGCGACGCCGCGUGAAGGAAGAAGUAUCUCGGUAUGUAAACUUCUAUCAGCAGGGAAGAUAGUGACGGUACCUGACUAAGAAGCCCCGGCUAACUACGUG
rnacentral:rRNA from 1 species